rnacentral:rRNA from 1 species
AUGAAUGGAUACUCUGAGAUAGAACGAGAAAAAGCAAAUUUGAUUAAUGCUACUUCUAUUAGUUUGGAACAAUUGGAAAAGUCUAAAAACGAAACCCUUUAUUUUGAAAAACAAAGGGCAAUGAAUCAGGUCCGACAGCGGGUUUUCCAACAGGCCGUACAAGGAGCUCUAGGAACUCUGAAUAGUUGUUUGAAU